rnacentral:tRNA from 1 species
UCAGGGCGGUAGUUUAAACUAAAAUACUGGCAUUGGAAGCCAGAGAUUGGGAAACAAACCCAUCCCUUG